AUUGAACGCUGGCGGCAUGCCUUACACAUGCAAGUCGAACGGUAACAGGUCUUCGGAUGCUGACGAGUGGCGAACGGGUGAGUAAUACAUCGGAACGUGCCCAGUAAUGGGGGAUAGCCCGGCGAAAGCCGGAUUAAUACCGCAUACGCCCUGAGGGGGAAAGUGGGGGACCGCAAGGCCUCACGUUAUUGGAGCGGCCGAUGGCUGAUUAGCUAGUUGGUAGGGUAAAGGCCUACCAAGGCGACGAUCAGUAGCUGGUCUGAGAGGACGAUCAGCCACACUGGGAGUGAGACACGGCCCAGACUCCUACGGGAGGCAGCAGUGGGGAAUUUUGUACAAUGGGGGAAACCCUGAUCCAGCAAUGCCGCGUGUGCGAAGAAGGCCUUCGGGUUGUAAAGCACUUUUGUCAGGGAAGAAAUCCUUUGGGCUAAUACCCUAGGGGGAUGACGGUACCUGAAGAAUAAGCACCGGCUAACUACGUGCCAGCCGCCGCGGUAAAAC
rnacentral:rRNA from 1 species